rnacentral:rRNA from 1 species
GAUGAACGCUGGCGGCGUGCCUAACACAUGCAAGUCGAACGGAAAGGCCCUGCAUUUUUCUGGUGCUCGAACGACGAGCGGGUGAGUAACAAAUGAGUAACCUACCCCUGACUGUGGGGUAACUUCUGGUAAAAGCGGCUACUAACGCAGCAGAGUUUCUGCUGCAUGGUGGGGGUUGGAUAGUUUCGGCGUUUCGGGAUGUACUCGCGGCUUAUUAGCUAGUUGGUGGGGUAGUGGCUUACACAGGCUUUGACGGGUAGCCGACGUGAGAGGGUGACCGGCCACACUGGAACUGAGACACGGUCCAGACUCCUACGGGAGGCAGCAGUAGGGAAUCUUACGCAAUGGGCGAAAGCCUGACGGAGCAAGGCCGCGUGAGUGAUGAAGGCCCUCGGAUCGUAAAGCUCUGUUAGUGGGGAAGAACAAAUGUGUAAGGAAACAUGCCCGUAUUGACGGUACCGGAUCAAGAAGCCACGGCUAACUACGUG